AACGGAAGAAGGCGCGAGUAGCAGCGGCGCAGCCAGGGCACCUGGGGGUGACACGAGAGUGGGCGGGCGGUCCAGGGAGCCCCUGCUGGAAACCAGACGCUAAAGCUUGCAGCUGUGCAGCUAGGGGAGCAUCUGUUUUCCACUUGAGAGCAACCCGGGCACGCGAGAACGGCCCGAUUUCGGUGCAGGGGUGCGUCCCGAAGGAACGGGGGACUGUUUCUGCGCGGACAGGCGAACCCGGCAGGGGAAACCGAGGCCACGCUAGGUCCGCAGCCCCGAGGUGUCCACAAGAGCUCCGCUCGCGCAAGGGCGCGGAGCGAGGCUGCCCGCGGGACCGGCCUGCGGAGCGAGCGGCCAACGAGUGGAUAAAGAAAAUGUGAUAUAUAUGCACUAUGGAAUACUAAGCCAUAAGAAGGAAUGAAAUAAUGGCAUUUGCAGCAACCUAGAUGGAGUUGGAGACCAUUAUUCUAAGUGAAGUAACUCAAGAAUGGAAAACCAAAUAUUGUAUGUUCUCACUCGUAAGUGGGAGCUAAGCUGCGAAGAUGCAAAGGCAUAAGAAUGAUAUAGUGGACUUUGAGGACUCAAGGGUUGAAGGAUGAGACUACACAUUGGGUACAGUGUGCACUGCUUGGGUGAUGAGUGCACCAAAAUCUCAGAACUCACCACUGAAGAACUUCCCCAUGUAACCAAAAACCACCUGUUCCACAGAAACUAUCGAAAUAACAUUUUUAAAACUUUACUAUUUCUGAAUAAAAUUUACAUACAUUUCUCAGAAAAAAAAAUAUUUGGAAUUGAGGUAUCUAAUAGAGAACUGAGUUAAAUUAUUGCCACUUAAAAACACAAAGUGAUAUAGCCACUUUAUGAAUUAAUCAGUCAGCAGUGGCUAGGUUAUGCUUAGUGGUUUAUAACCAAAUCUUAGUUUAUAACAACAAAUGUGUAUUGUUAAUUCCCACUACAAGUUUAUAACGACAUUGCUGGAUGCUACACUCCAUGUCUCUUUGUGGGACCCAGGCUCAUGGGACUUCUGUUACCUGCAUUAGAGAGAGAGAAGACAACAAAAUAUGCACUGGUUCUUGAAGCUUUGGCCCAGAAGUAAAAUAUGUCUUUUACCUGUUCACAUUGCAUUGGGCCAGGGCAAUUAUCAUGGCUGCAAGUAACUUCAAAAGGAUGGGGAAGUGCGAUCUUGGCAUGUGUCAGAAGAAAUGAAAACAUUUGGUGAAGAGCAUUAAUGACUGUCUUUACAGGAAAAAAGCAAUCAAAUAGACAUGAUUGCUUGUUUCAGUUUCAUCAUUUCCUACUGUGUUACCUAAACUUUCUGAGCCCCAGUUUCUUAUUACUAAAAUAAAAUAAAGAUGAUAUUCACUUCAAGGACUUUGUGUUAACUAGGGUAAAAAAAUUGAAAACUAGUAAGUUAUGCAAAUUAGAAAUGUAUAAUAUUACUGCUUUGAAAGUGAUGGUGAAAUGUAGAAUAAUUGGAAGGAUAACACAAAGCACUUAUACCAGGAGGCUUUUAGCUGCAGAUAAUAGAAAUGAACCUCCACUACUUUAAUCAAUAAAAAAGUGUAUCAGCUCACAAAUUUGUCAUCCAGACAUAAAGGAGGCUUCAGAAUUUAUUGACUCAGGAGUUGAAUGUUGGUAUCAAGGACCUAGAUUUUUCUCAUCACUCUGCACUUCAAUUCUCAAUGCCCUAUUGAACAUCAGGCUGUAGUAAGAUGGCUAGAGUGAUUCCAGGGAUAACAUCUAGAGAUAAAAAAGAGAACUCCUUUUCUUAUGAUUUUUUUCUUAAGAGAAAAGGAAUUUCCCAAAAGCCCCCAGCAAGCAUGCCUUCACAUCCCAUGGCCAGAAGUGGCUCACAUGUGUACCCUGAGCUAAGCACUGCAGACAGGAAUGGAAUCGCCUGUAGGCCUCAGAGACCACCUGGAUCUUGGGAAGGUGUCAGCUCUACCUGUGGCACUUGGCUGAGUGGGAAAGGGAUGGAAACAUGAAUAAAGUAAGAAUUAGGAAGGAAAAGGAGAAAUGGAUCCAGGGUAUGAAGCCAAUAGUUUAGUUAUCUCAACAAAUAUGAUUGAUUUCAUCUUUAUGAAUGUGAUGACCUAAUUUAAUACAUUCAAUCAAUGAAGUAAAAAAAAGUGCAAGGACAAUAUGACAUCUGUCAUUCUCUGUUGAGAUUUGAGAGGUAAUAAUACCAAGAACGUGUGGUGACCUGGGUCCUCACUGCUACUGUCUUCCUGUACCUGGACACUUCUAGCAAGAGACUUCAACUUCAGAACAAAGAGGAUCCCAACUUGUAGCUGCAUUAUACACACCCCAGCAGCACACAUAAGUUGAUUUCUAAUUAUUCCUCUUUAAGAAAUUGUUUGUGGAAUAUUUAUCUAUUUAUAAAUGGAAAAAUAGAAAAUUAAAAUAACAAAAAUAAGUAACACCAUGUAUUGAGUGUCUACUGCGUGCUAGGCACUGUGCUAAGUGUUCUGCAUAUAUUGUCAUUGUGCUGCCAACGACUCUGCAAUAAAGAUGUUCCCAUUCCU
rnacentral:lncRNA from 1 species